CAGCGUCUGGCGUGUAUACGAAGUAGAGGAUCUGCACUUUCAGACCUCCAUAAAGAAUUGUUUAAGAUUAUUUGAGAUUUGAUCUUUGGUUCUAUUACUAAUCAGGUAAAAAUUUAAUCCUUAUUCAUGUAGAUUAAUAAAAAAAAUUUAGAUGCAACCUGGAUCAUCCGAAGAGAAACAGUUUUUCUUCCCUUCAAUUGGUAUUAG
rnacentral:lncRNA from 1 species